rnacentral:rRNA from 1 species
GACGAACGCUGGCGGCGCGCCUAACACAUGCAAGUCGAACGAGCGAGAGAGAGCUUGCUUUCUUGAGCGAGUGGCGAACGGGUGAGUAACGCGUGAGGAACCUGCCUCAAAGAGGGGGACAACAGUUGGAAACGACUGCUAAUACCGCAUAAGCCCACGGUGCCGCAUGGCACAGAGGGAAAAGGAGCAAUCCGCUUUGAGAUGGCCUCGCGUCCGAUUAGCUAGUUGGUGAGGUAACGGCCCACCAAGGCGACGAUCGGUAGCCGGACUGAGAGGUUGAACGGCCACAUUGGGACUGAGACACGGCCCAGACUCCUACGGGAGGCAGCAGUGGGGAAUAUUGCACAAUUGGGGAAACCCUGAUGCAGCGACGCCGCGUGGAGGAAGAAGGUCUUCGGAUUGUAAACUCCUGUUGUUGGGGAAGAUAAUGACGGUACCCAACAAGGAAGUGACGGCUAACUACGUG